GCGCCUUGUGUGCACGCCGCCCGCCUCCCUAGACGAUCGAACCUUUUCGCUCUUUCGGUCCUAGAAGCAGGUAUUUCUGUGCGACCUAGACCCAGGACUGAAACGGAUGGAAGAAGAAAAGGUUCUGAGGUUCCCGCCCUGGCGGAGUCAGAAGACCAAGCGCCUAAGGAGACAUGAGUCUCGUGAGUCAGAAGCUUCUGUUGACCCAUUCUCAUGAGUUUCAUUGGAAGGAACUUAAUCAUGAAAGCUUCAACUGUUGACGGUUACUAGCAGGUAUGGCAUUAGCUGCUUAAAGAGAUCAUCCGCAUAUUCAAGAAAAGCAACCUUGGAGGGCUGGUCCCUUGCUAACCCCAAGGAGUCAAGAAAAUGGCUGCCAUUUACUUCCCAGAUCUCUUGAGUGCCUGUCUGCCCUGUGUCCUUCAAGACUACAAGUGGCUCAGAUUUGUGGAGAGCACUGGGGCCCCUAUGAUGUCCAGCACUGGGCUCCGAUGGAAGGCUGAGGACAUACUUCCUGGGACCUUUGACACCCAGGCUCUGAGGCAGGGAAAAGUCAGGAUGCUGAGCUUUCCUGCCUCCCACCAACCUCUUAACUCCCCUUCUUCCUGCCUACAGGUGUGCUCCAGAGGGCCAGGCCCCACAACCUGCCAGCCCUUCCUGGACCUCUUGAUCCUGCCCUAAAGCAACUGGGGCCAUGGGUGUCCAUCCACAGGGGCACCAAACUGCUGGCCAUCGUGCAGCCCUUCCAGCAGAGCCCCAGUGACCUUGGAGCUGGCCAACCCCCCCAGAGCCUGCCCAUGCCAAGGCACCGUCUUCAUUUACCACCAAGACACUGCACUUGGGUGUCAGCAAGGAAUCGUUCCUGUGUGCCGUG